CAGCCGCCACGGGAAUACAGAGGGUGCAAGCGUUAAUCGGAAUUACUGGGCGUAAAGCGCGCGUAGGUGGUUUGUUAAGUCGGAUGUGAAAUCCCCGGGCUCAACCUGGGAACUGCAUCCGAAACUGGCAAGCUAGAGUAUGGUAGAGGGUAGUGGAAUUUCCUGUGUAGCGGUGAAAUGCGUAGAUAUAGGAAGGAACACCAGUGGCGAAGGCGACUACCUGGACUGAUACUGACACUGAGGUGCGAAAGCGUGGGGAGCAAACAGGAUUAGAUACCCCCGUAGUCCCUGUCUCUUAUAC
rnacentral:rRNA from 1 species